GUAUUGUAUGACAGGAGAGGAGGUUAACACUUCCCUUGACAAGGAUGGAAGAAGCCCUCGGGUGCACAACAUGCAUAUGGUUAAGACAAAAUAGAAAAAUAAAUGAAUUCACCAGAAUAU
rnacentral:ncRNA from 1 species